rnacentral:lncRNA from 1 species
ACAUCACUGUCAUCAGUACUGGAUAACAGGAAGGAAUUCCCCAACCUAGAGAUAUUUGAUCCUGGCCACAUUCUACAUAAGAAUGAAAACUUUAAGAAAAAGGAACAACUUAAUAACAUGAGGGGCAUCAGGGCUUUAUGACAACAAGGAAUUCCCCAAGUGAGAGAUAUUUGAUCUUGGCUACUUUCUAGAUGGCAAUGGAGACUUUACAAAAAGUGACUACUUCGUGCUUUUCUCAACAGGAAAAUGGAUGUGUUCAGGAGAGGGCCUGGCCUGCAUGGAGCUGUUUCUAUUCCUGAUCACUGUUUUCUGGAACUUUAAACUGAAACUCUGGUUCACUCAAAGGACAUAGAUACAACCCCAGUGGUCAGUGUAUUAGCCUCUCUGCUACCCUCU